AACAUCUUCGUAACAAAGAUGCAUUCUAUGAUCGGCCUAUAAUCGGAUCGGGAUUGGAAUCGUUCAAUUAGAUACUGUGCAUACGUAGUUGCACGGUUUCUUUAUUAUGAUGCACUUGAUCAGGAUAUCAGCAUCAGAAUCAGAUCUUUAAAUCAAAUACUGUUAGAAACAGUUGAUCUGGACUGACGUUCACCAUACAAGAGAUGUCGGUCGGCACUGUGGUCGAGAUCGAUGGUCUUGGCAUUGCUGCCACUGGAUCAUUUUGUGUGCGAGUCAGGACCAGCUGUGUACUGAUCUAUCUUGGCAUCGGUUCCAUCGGCAAGUUGUGUGCUGGUCUCUGCCGUGGCAUUGCUGCCUCCGAAUCCUGCUGUCCGACGGAACGAAUUGAUUCGAACUGCUAUAACAUAUAAUUUCGUAUAAA